UACGGGGGGGGCAAGCGUUGUUCGGAAUUACUGGGCGUAAAGGGCUCGUAGGCGGCCAACUAAGUCAGACGUGAAAUCCCUCAGCUUAACUGGGGAACUGCGUCUGAUACUAGAUGGCUAGAGUGUGGGAGAGGGAUGCGGAAUUCCAGGUGUAGCGGUGAAAUGCGUAGAUAUCGGGAGGAACACCUGAGGCGAAGGCGGGCUACUGGGCCGAUACUGACGCUGAUGCGCGAAAGCCAGGGGAGCGAACGGG
rnacentral:rRNA from 1 species